GACGAACGCUGGCGGCGUGCCUAAUACAUGCAAGUAGAACGCUGAAGGAGGAGCUUGCUUCUCUGGAUGAGUUGCGAACGGGUGAGUAACGCGUAGGUAACCUGCCUGGUAGCGGGGGAUAACUAUUGGAAACGAUAGCUAAUACCGCAUAAUAGUAGAUGUUGCAUGACAUUUGCUUAAAAGGUGCAAUUGCAUCACUACCAGAUGGACCUGCGUUGUAUUAGCUAGUUGGUGGGGUAACGGCUCACCAAGGCGACGAUACAUAGCCGACCUGAGAGGGGGCUCGGCCACACUGGGACUGGGACACGGCCCAGACUCCUACGGGAGGCAGCAGUAGGGAAUCUUCGGCAAUGGACGGAAGUCUGACCGAGCAACGCCGCGUGAGUGAAGAAGGUUUUCGGAUCGUAAAGCUCUGUUGUAAGAGAAGAACGAGUGUGAGAGUGGAAAGUUCACACUGUGACGGUAUCUUACCAGAAAGGGACGGCUAACUACGUG
rnacentral:rRNA from 1 species